GUCAGUGUGGCCGAGUGGUUAAGGCGUUACACUCGAAAUGUAAUACGUUCGCGUGCAGAGGUUCGAAUCCUCUCGCUGACG